rnacentral:tRNA from 1 species
GGGCCCGUGGCCUAGUUUGGAAAAGGCGCCGGCCUGCGGAGCCGGAGAACCCGGGUUCAAAUCCCGGCGGGCCCA